AGCCAAGGUGAUCCCAGCUAAGAGGCCUCCAAGAGCACCCUUGGCAAGUGUAGAAAGAUGCUGUUAAAGUUAUUCCUCUUAUCAGAGGGUCCACUGAAACGGUUUAGGUAAUGUAGCAGCCCUCAGAGCUGGCAGCAUUAUUUGUUCAGUUCACUGCACUUCUGUUCUCUCCUGUUCUGUUCACUGCAUUUCUGAAGCAAGAAAUACCUGCACGACUCCUCCCAUCAGCGACGCUGCUGCAGCCAUGGAAGUGCACAGGACGCCGUAUAAAACACCUGGAAAAGAUCAGGAAAGAAAAAUAAAACAGACCAGAUGCUGCACUUGAGCUGUCUGAAAAGGCAUGGCUAAUCAGCUUUUUAACAGGGUGUGAUGACUAGGCACAGCUCCAUGACACAGCACCGUCUGAGAACUGACACCACUGGAGGAGAAACAAGUAAUCUGGAAAUGGUAAUAUAGAAAUUGGAACACACCUGUAUAGAAGGCUUGGACUAACACUGUUUUGGAAACAAGUGGUUUGGAAUGAGUUUUUUCCCCUUGGAGAUAUGAGUGAAAUUUGUGAGACUGCUUUUAUAUUGUUCUGAUGGAGACACAGGCAGUGUGAUUAAGCAUCUUACUUACAAAUGAGUAGCAGUAAAGUGAAGUACAACUCUUGUACUUCA